GCCCUCGUAGCUCAGUCGGAUAGAGCGGGACUCUCCUAAAGUCCAGGCCACAGGUUCGAUUCCUGUCGGGGGCA
rnacentral:tRNA from 2 species